ACUUGGGGUUAUAGUUGUGUUUUUUAUGCCAAUACUAUUUUAUAGAAAUGUUUGAUUUGCAAUUAGUACACAUUUAUAUUUAAAAUUUCAAGCUCAGAUUCCAUUUGCUAAAAUAAUGACUUUAAGUUUACUUAGACUGUGGUAUAUUUUUAUGUAGUUUCUUGUAUGUUUACUAUGUGCUAUUCUGAUUCAUUAGGUAAGUUUGUUUUCUUUUCUUUUUAGUAGUCGUGAAAGAUGCCAAAUUGGCAGAGGCUCACGUUUCUUCUCUUUACACCAAACAGGUAUUAUAAAGAAAGUAAAUCUUUCCAAGGCCAGUUAAAUCUCCAUUCUAUUUUUGGCUUUAUGGUUUGAUGAUAGUUUCAAAAUUUAUUAUAAAUUUCCCUAGAAAUGUAACUGAAAUUACCAAUUCUAUUCAGUUAAGCUCAUAAAUGCUUAUCAAUUUCUUUAGCCUAAAAUUGCAUAAUAACUUAAGAAUUUCAGUAUUUUAAGUUGUGCUUUGAAUGAAUCAGAAGACCAAAUCUGACUGUUUGGUCCUCUCGUGUGAGGACUGCAUCCUCCAGGAUUCACUAGAUUCACAGUUGUGCUUUAUAAGCACUAAUCUGCAUUUCGUUAUAGAUGUUAGGGGUGUGUGGCUAUUGAGUUUUAAUUCAUGAGUGUGUUUCUGAAUACUAGUAUUUUAUGUACACAUAUUUCUUCAUUUAAAACAUAAGAUACCUUUUAAAAGUAGAUGGUAGUUCUUGUUUUUCUAAUAAGAAAACAGACUGUUAGAAAUGAAGUGGUUUACCUAAAGUCAUAGUGACCAAGUGGAAGUACUGUAUUCUUAGUAUAAGCAUUGUGAUUUCAGUACCAACUUUAUAAAAGAAAAAAAAAUUGCAGAACUCUGCUGCUGUGUCCUUCCUAAUUAUUGAUCAACCAUGAUAUUGUGAUAACCAUGGUAGUCUUUACCUCAAAAUCCUACAAAGAAUUAGCAGACUCCUUGGUCUUCAGGCAGUUCAUGUUUACCCUUUUAAAAAGCACUUUGUUCAUAUCUCUGUUAUAAUAUUCAAUGUUGUACUAUAAUUUAUCUGGUUUAUAUGUCUGUCUUCCCCCACUAGAUUGCAAGCUCCUCCAGGAAGGGGACCAUGUCUUAUUCAUCUUUUUAUCUCUAGUGCUUAUAGUAAACCUGGCUCAUGUGAGCACUUAGAUGUUUGUUGGAUGAAAUAAUGAAUGAAUGGAUAUUUACAUUUAUAAUAAUGAGGUUGACAAUUACCUCCCUUGUUAAUUCUUAUCAAUUUUCUAAAAAUCUGAUAGUCUCCUCAGUCACUGGGGCCAUUUUAUAAAAUGAUAGUGUUAUGUGUCUCUUCACAGGGGUUACAGGUAGCGAUGGAGGUAGAUACCUAGAAUCAAAUCUGACAUUUUUCCAGCUCAGGCCUCUAGAUUGUGUAAUAUUAAGUAAGUACUAUAGUCAUUUCCAGGAGUUAAUUUAUCUUUUCUUUUUAUAAAUUAGAGUACUUGGUUAGAAAUGCUGAGAACAUCAAUCUAGACCAUCUUACUAAAUUGGUGCCUAGGUGACAUAGCAUAGAGAACUGAACAGGGAUUAAUAGAUUUAGCUUUUGUUCUCAUCUCUGUGCUUAACUCUAUAGCCUUAGAUAGGUCUCUUGCCUUAUACAGAGUUUGUUCCUUAUUCAUAAAAUGAAAAGAGAUGGACUGAAUGAUCUCUCUGUUACAUCUCAUGUCCCAUUUGAUUCUAAAACAGUUUUAUAUAUAAGCCAGUUACUCCUAUCUAAUGUUUUUCUCAUCAGCGGUAACAACUUAGAUUUAAUUACAAUAGUUCAUACAUUACCUCUUGCUAAAGUUUUGUAUAUAUGUCUCCAAAUGCUUGCAUUUGCCAGCACAAGUUGCAUUUAUCCUAUAACAUGCAAGUAAGCAUUUGUAUUUACGUAUUCUUCCUAUUCCCAUUUAUAGCUUUUCUCUUUGCUUACAAACAUGGUUUUUAAAAAAGUAUUGACCUAUUUCCUUUUUUUCAACAAAUCAAGAUUUAUAUCUUUUUUUUCCAUCUCCAUUCUUCCACAGUAUUCUACCUAAAAGUAGAACCCCUUUUAAUUCUACAGCUGUUCUGAUCAGUUGGCUGCUUUAUCGUACACACAUGGUUAUCUGGUUGUACAAGUAGAGUUGGGAGUGGGAGAAAGACUAAAGGCGAUGUAGGCUGGGGAAAUUAUAUAUUUCUGGUUAAAAGAUUGAUUAGGAUUACCUCAAGGGAUGGUUGUCACAUUGCAUAUUUUUUUAAUCUCUAAACAAUGUUUUAAAUGUUAUUGGAUAACUGAAACUCUUUUUUUUUUUUAAACAAAUAAGUAACUGUUGCCCAGACAUUUAAUGAAAACUUGUUGCAGGAAAUAAAAGUGUUCCAUGGUUCUGUUUUAUUGUAAUAUGAUCAAAUGUAACAAAGCAGUAGUUACUAUGAAGAUAAGAAAGAUGUCACUGUUUUAGCUGGUUACUUGUAGCGAGUAUGGGCUAAGCUUCAUUGAAGAAAGUAUCUUGCUAGCAGAACUGUUUCCUGGGGUAGGAAGAGGGAGGAGGGGCUGUCUUCCAUUUUAUUGGCAACAUUAACCAUUGGGACUAAUGACACAAGAAAGAAAUCAAACGUUUACCUGUUUGAUUUGUUGAAAUAUUAGUGGCUGAAUCACAGAACUAUGCGGAUUUUAUCAAAAUACAUCCCCCCCAUACUGAAUAUAGGCUCGUUACAGAAAAAUCGCUUUAGCUAAUUAGUUUAACAUUUCUAUAGCUAUCUGUAAGUCCCAGAACCCUCAAAGUCAGUGAAGCCUUCAAAACAGAAUUGUUCUUAGCGAUGUUCUGGGGUACUCAAACUCUGAUUAUUUUCUUCCAGGACUGUUUUUUUUUUCCUUCUAAAAUUCAAUAACUAAAAAUUGUCAUUUACUAACAUAGAUUUUAAACCACCAGUAUACUACCCAGUAUAAAAUCCCGAUAAGUC
rnacentral:lncRNA from 1 species